rnacentral:rRNA from 1 species
AUUGAACGCUGGCGGCAUGCUUUACACAUGCAAGUCGAACGGCAGCACAGGGAGCUUGCUCCCGGGUGGCGAGUGGCGCACGGGUGAGUAAUACAUCGGAACGUGUCCUGUUGUGGGGGAUAACUGCUCGAAAGGGUGGCUAAUACCGCAUGAGACCUGAGGGUGAAAGCGGGGGAUCGCAAGACCUCGCGCAAUUGGAGCGGCCGAUGCCCGAUUAGCUAGUUGGUGAGGUAAAGGCUCACCAAGGCGACGAUCGGUAGCUGGUCUGAGAGGACGACCAGCCACACUGGGACUGAGACACGGCCCAGACUCCUACGGGAGGCAGCAGUGGGGAAUUUUGGACAAUGGGGGCAACCCUGAUCCAGCCAUGCCGCGUGCAGGAUGAAGGCCUUCGGGUUGUAAACUGCUUUGUCAGGGACGAAAGGACCGUGUUAAUACCAUGGUCUGCUGACGGUACCUGAAGAAUAAGCACCGGCUAACUACGU